rnacentral:rRNA from 1 species
GACGAACGCUGGCGGCGUGCUUAACACAUGCAAGUCGAACGGAAAGGCUCCAGCUUGCUGGAGUGCUCGAGUGGCGAACGGGUGAGUAACACGUGGGCAAUCUGCCCUGCACUCUGGGAUAAGCCUGGGAAACUGGGUCUAAUACCGGAUAGGACCUUUCUCCUCAUGGGGUUUGGUGGAAAGUUUUUCGGUGCAGGAUGAGCCCGCGGCCUAUCAGCUUGUUGGUGGGGUAAUGGCCUACCAAGGCGACGACGGGUAGCCGGCCUGAGAGGGUGAUCGGCCACAUUGGGACUGAGAUACGCCCAGACUCCUACGGGAGGCAGCAGUGGGGAAUAUUGCACAAUGGGCGAAAGCCUGAUGCAGCGACGCCGCGUGAGGGAUGACGGCCUUCGGGUUGUAAACCUCUUUCAGUAGGGACGAAGCGCAAGUGACGGUACCUGCAGAAGAAGCACCGGCUAACUACGUG